rnacentral:misc_RNA from 1 species
GGGACGUUAAACCAACAACCCAAGGGUGCCUCGGAAUGCCUGGUGCGCGACGGGGGCGGAUCUUACUUGCCGCUCACUGGGGCUUCCGCCCCGUCCCGUCGCGGCGGACGCGGUUGGUGCGCGAYGGGGGCGGAUCUUACUUGCCGCUCACUGGGGCUUCCGCCCCGUCCCGUCGUCGUCGUCGGCCGCGGGGGGUGCGCGAUGGGGGCGGAUCUUACUUGCCGCUCACUGGGGCUUCCGCCCCGUCCCAUCGUCGCCUCCUUUCCGGGGCGCCCUAUUCCAAUUUUUUACUCUGUAGAGAAAACUUGGGCCGGGAGUUCCGGCAAAGAGGGCGGGA